CCCUCCAAAUGCCGGUGGCCGGCUGUUGCGCAGCUGGCAGAUUGGGCCCCCAGAAAUGGCUUCAAGGGAGUACCACAGGGGUGUGGCCUUCAAAGCCUGGAUCUUCCUCCCCCAGCAGUGACCCCAGGUUGCCAGUGUCAAAGACAAUUUGGGGCUACUUAAAAGAACCUGACCUAAGGGUCACCUGGGCAAAGCGCUGCUAUGAGGAGCAGCCACCAGAUGGCAGCCUAGAGCCAGCCUCCUCCCAGGGAGCCCCAGCACGUGUGCCCGUGUAUGUGUGUGUGUGUGUGUGUGUGUGUGUGUGCCCACUUACACAUAGGAAUCUAGGUCUUGGGUGAGCAUUCUCACUGCUACCUGGGGGAAGGGUACCCCUCCUAGACUUCGCUGUGAGGUCACAUGGCUUUGGGGGAUGGGCCGUGCCAGCUUCUCUGGCCUCUGGCAUUUUACAUCAUGGCAUCAUCAGAAAUAAGCAGAGAAGGACACUGGACCUCUGUGAUCUCUGCAGCCACCACACCUGUCCUGAGAAACGAAGUGGAUGCAACCGUUCCAGUUUACACCGGCAGGAAGGGUUUCUGCCAAUGUGGGACUCUCAGUGCCAACACCAGGAUGGUCCUGGGCAAACUAGGACAAUAGGUCACCCUAGCUAAGCAAAAGCCGGAGAGGCCAGGCAGAGGGACGGAGGAGAAACCAGUUCUUCUGAGAUGUGCUUGCUGAUUCCUAUUUGAUCUUCUUCAGCCCAAUGCUUACCAGUCCUUGGAGGUCCGAGGCUUUUCUCCUAAGGCAGUGCUUGAGCUGUCGGAUGGGUGUCCUGACUCCAGGAAGGGGCGCAGUACAGCUGGGAGUGGGCAGCUUAGUAGUUUAUCUCAGUGGAGAGGAGACCACAGGCUUGGGGUGUGGUCACCCAAACCAGGCUGGCCUGCCCUCCCAAGGCGCCGACCACCCAGCACCUUCUCUAAUUAACAUGUGAACCUCCCAACACCCACUGUGUGGUUGCUAGAGUUAUUAUCCCAUUUCAGAGAUGGGAUAACUGAGAUGGAGUCAUAGGCCCCAGGGCUGAGUUGGGGGAGAGUAAGGUAGGGUCCCCUCCUCCUGAGCCACUGUUCAGCUCAGGGGCCGGAGUAAGCCUCACCCUCAGGGAUGGGCAGUCCGAAGGUCCUCCCUGAAGGUGGCUCAGCCCGACUCAGCAGACACCGAUGACAUCAUUAAGGAUGGAGAAGGAGGAGGAGGUCACCUCAGCAGGACUCCAAAGCUGACUGUGGCCUUCAGGAAAUGCAGAUCCGGCAGCACCCACUUCACUCUCCGAGCAGCCCUCCUUCCCAGUCAGCCUCUCCAGCCCGGCUCUGCCCACAGAAGCCAAGCAGGGAGGCUGGAGGCCAGAGUGGAACCUGGGCUUCAAAACCGAGCUUGAAGCGCUGGUGGGAGGGGGCUGGGGGCUCCCGGGUCCACCUCUUCUGCUCUACCGGGCCUUGGAGAGCUGUGUGCUAUUGUCAGAUUGGCAGUGCUAGGGAUCAAACACAGGGCUUUGCGUGUGCCAGGCAAACCCUUGACCUCCGAAUUUCACUAAUUUACUGGUACCGGAAAUCAAACUCAGGACCUUACUAAGCUCGCCAGGCAGGCGCUUGUGCCGCUGAGCUAUAUCCCCGGCCAUCACACAUUUAUUUUAAGGCUGGGCGGCCCGGCCGGCCCCCUUUUCCAGCUGCCUCUUUCCCAGGAGGCUGGGGGACCCGAUGACCUUAGGAGACCUCAGAACGGAGUCUGGAGGAGCCCAGCACCCCUGCUGUGGCCGAAGGGGAAGGUGUUGUAGAAAUCGCACCCCUCUCCGGUGCUCAGGGCUUGGUGGAGAAGCGGGCGGGGGCGGGGUGCCAUGAGGGUCCCUGACGCUGGGACCCAUCUUGGGUCGGCUCCCAGCCGGCCUGGCUUCCGGGGGCACCCAGGUGAGGUGGGGUGCUUGCUUGUUUACACCCUUUGGGGUUUGCUUCCAGCCUAAGGCCACUUCCUGUUUGCACUAGCAGGCCCCGGGGAGAUCAAAGGCAGGGCUGAAUCCCAGGCCGAUGUUGAGGACAUGCUUGGAACCCACAGUUUCGCUCCUGCACCCCUCUAGUGAAAACCCCCAGGGAAGAUUCCAGGAAGCAGUUCCAGAAACUGAGAACUAGUUCUGCCAAGAUGCCCAGGAGCCAGGGGCAAGACCACGCCUUCGGUUUUGCCUCCAGUUGUCGUGUGCACAGGGGUACGUGGCAAGCAGGUGCAGUGGGACCCCUGUUCCCCACAACUGGUCCCCAGAACCGCAUCCUCUGGGGAACCUGGGCUUGGGCUACAGUGGAGCUAGAGGGACCCUCACCCCUCCCACGCUGGCCAGUUCCUGGGCAGCCCGCGAGCACAGUGCCUCCGAGUCAGAGCCUGGACACCUGCAAACCAUCCUAAUGCUCCACCAUCCUCCCCACCUACGGGCCACCAAGUCCCCUUCCUUUGGCAGCACUAGUGGUACCCUUUUCUUCGCUUCCGCUGCUCCGGAUUGAAUCCGAGCCCCAGCUCAUUCCUUCCUGAGUCUGUUGCAACAGUGGCUGCACCCCUCGCUGGAGGUGGGGGUGCGGAGCGCCCCCCAGGUCCUCCUUCCCCUCCUCCUGCCCCUCCUCCGCACUCCACCGAGACUCCUCAGAACACAGGUCUCUGCACGCCAUGCUCACGCUCAGACGCCUUUGAUGGCUCCCCAUGGCCAAUAGGAUAAAGUCCCGGCGUUGCCUGGCGUUGACAGUUGGCCCUGGUUUGGUGCCAGCUCACCCGGCCAGCCUGGGUCCCCUUCAACCCCAGCUACCUCCUGUGGCCCGCAUGGACCUGCCAGUGCCCUCAGUGGCUCCUGGGCUGAAGAUGUUGGGAGGGAGAACUGAUCCAUAAUCCCAUAAAUAAAUACAUCCUGAUAA